UCGUGCUAGAUGGGGGGCUCGGGGUCCCCUGAACCGGAAACCCCCGAUACGCCGGAUUGAUCACUCGCCUGCGGCCCUUGGAACGACCGGGUAGCUCCGGGCAAGCAGCGUCGAUGGUCGGGUCCUGCGCGACUCGGAACCGUGAACCCGGUCAGGCCCGGAAGGGAGCAGCCGUAAGCGGCGGACCGAGAGUGCCGCAGGGGGUCCUGGCCGGAGCCGGCUACCCGAACAGCACCGGUCGGUCGAGGGUCCAGGGCGAGCCGCACGG
rnacentral:SRP_RNA from 1 species